rnacentral:misc_RNA from 1 species
GAUGAAGAACGCAGCGAAACGGGAUACGUAAUGUGAAUUGCAGAAUUCAGUGAAUCAUCGAAUCUUUGAACGCACCUUGCGCCCUUUGGCUAUUCCGAAGGGCAUGCCUGUUUGAGUAUCAUGAACACCUCAACUCUCAUGGUUUGCCAUGAUGAGCUUGGACUUUGGGGGUCUUGCCGGCCUAUGGGUCGGCUCCUCUCAAAUUAAUCAGCUUGCCAGUGUUUGGUAGCAUCACAGGUGUGAUAACUAUCUACGCUUGUGGUUUUCCAUCAGGUAACCUUCAGUGAUGGAGGUUCGCUGGGGCUCAUAAAUGUCUCUCCUCAGUGAGGACAGCUUUUUUGAACGUUUGAUCUCAAAUCAGGGAGGACUACCCGCUGAACUUAAGCAUAUCAAUAAGCGGAGGA